UGAGGGGGUGUUUGGCUCGAGGUCAUGCUGCCUGGCUCUUGAUGGCGAGACGGCUAAAGGUUGAGGAUAGAGCAUGGCUGUAUUCAAGAUGUCUUGUAUAGUUAGCAAGUGAUAAGUCUAUAAGUUAAGCUAAAGCUGCAUUUUGUACACAGUAUGUAACUUGUGUCAUUGUGGAACGUUGAUAAAUCAGAAAUCUAUAGUAUUAUGUUUGCAAGUGCCUUAGCUUGCUAAUACAUAACUAACAUUUGCAUACUAACAGCUAAACUUGUCCCCUCUGGUAGUCAAGGGUGCUAAAAUAAUCGUUUGACAAGCUUAAUAAUAAUAAUAAUAAUAAAGUCUAUCUUAUCUCAUCUUAAAUCUCGUGUUUUUAGCCGGCACUUUGUGGAAUUCACCGCCGGUGGGGGCGGGACAUAAAUGUGCGCUCUCUCUCUCUCUCUAUGGAUUCUUGUGUAUGCUCAUGUUCUAUUGGAUUUACCGUUUUUGACAAGAGCCUGUGUUUUUUUGGACUUGUGAUUUUGACUGAACGUUCUUGGAAACCUUCGCUUGGACCUUGCCUUCCAUUUUUGUCUGCCAACCUGUGAACCGAACUCUGCCUGUUUUGCCACUUUGGAUAUUGGACUGAGCCCUGCCUGUACCUCUGCUGGACUUUUUUGAGUUUACGCUGCCUACCAAGUCGCUCUGCCUGGCUGCCUAUUCCUGUGUUUCUUCAUUAAAACCUACAUAAUCUA